GCGCACUUGCAGCCUGUACACGGGCUCUGAAUGGCCUCCAGGGGAACGUUCCCUCAGCUGGCAGUCCUUGGGCACAUCAUCCUCUCUAUUCAGGCUGUCCAGGGAAUCUCCUCCGUGGAGCUCCUCUUCCUUAAGAACAGACUGUGCUGAGCCUUUGGAGUUGUUGCCUUCCAAACAUUCCCACCUCUUCCUACUUCCAGGCACCUCAAGAACACAGGAUUCUGGAUCUGAUAUUGAAAUAUCAGAUAGGGAUGAAAAUACUGCAUGGACCUCUCACAUGCAUGUUCUUGGCACAAGAACAUGUGGUUCUUCACCUUCUUCAAAGUGAAAUGGAGGAGGGCUAGGAGGACAACAGACUCUUGAGUUUCCAACACUCAUUUAAGUGUUUGUAGAAUGGAAACAAGGAACUUAUGCUUCUCCAGAUGAAUUAAUCUAAGAAGUGUUCUUUGCAAAUGUCAGAAAGCCUGAAGUAAGAAUGUUUCACAUUCCCCAGACGUCGUUCUCCCAACCCAGGUGCAAAGGUAACAUGACAGAUCUCAACCAGAGACUUGAUUCUUCUUGCUGCCCCUCAGGACAGAAAGCACAAGAAACCAGAGAAGCCUGAGGAUCACAUUCCCUUGUCUUCUCAGGUGCCUACUGCUCUCACAGUCUUCUUUCUUCUCCUAGAACAGAGCUAUUUGUGAAGGUGGGGGCAGCCUUCUCAAGAAUUUCUGCAGAUUAAAAUGGGGCCUGGGACUCUGCAGAUGUUCAAUAAAUCUUUGUUGAAAGAAUGAAUGAAUGCAUUUGGAAAGCAAAAGAAGAGAGAAAAAAUGUGUAAUCUAAAUGUCAAAUGCCUCAGCCACUUCAGGCUCAUCUGUGAAAUAGGGAUGAACGUAGUAAUGGCAGCUCACUCUCGGGUUGACCUGAGGAUUAGAGCGUAUGGUGGGUGUAGUGUCCUUAGCUAGCUCCCUGCUUCACUGUUAUUACAGUUGUUAUUCCUAUUCGCUUGAGCACUGUGAUCCAAGGGGGUGGGGAACACAAGGAGGUGUUUUGGAUUAGAUCAGGACUUUUGCCCAAGUCCUUCUUGUAUCAUCAUGAUAUGCGGUACCAUCUAGGCUGGGAUGUCUGUCUCAGUAUCCUUCAUAUUACAUUAAACCACAUCCUAACCCAUCCUCUGGGAUCGGCAAACUGUUUCAAACUCACUGUAAUGAGGGAACGGCAGGAGCUUUGUUGGCCAAAGGAUGUCUUUUUUGGUUCAGAGGGUUGGGCUUCUGAGAACGGGAGAAUAGUGCUCCCUGCUUUAGUAAUGAUAAAGCGCUCGGUAACAUCACAGAUGACUGAAUCACAGAUGUAAAUGGGCCCCAGGCAUGGAAGCGGGCUAAGGGUAGUCUGGGAAGAUUUUUUACAGUAGUCCCACAGUACUGGUGGAACAUGGGUUCCAAAACCCCUUGUAGAUACCAAAACCUGUGGAUGCUCGAAUUCCUUAUACAUAAUAUGGUAUAGUAUUUGCAUAUAGCCUAAGUACAUCUUUCCAUAUACUUUAAAUCAUCUCUACAUUACGUAUAAUACCAAAUAUAACGUAAAUGUUGUGCAAGUAGUUGUCAUACUAUAUUGCUUAGGGAACAAUACAAGAGAAAGGUCUGUAGAUGCAAUUUUUUUGAGUAGCUUCCAUCCAUCAUUGGCUGAAUCCCUGGAGGCAGAACCGACAGACAUGAGGCCAACUGUGCGGUGAGCAAAAAGCCAAAAAGAAGUGAGUCUGUGAUUCAGGUUUCCGAUGUGCUUAUCCACUGUUGAAAGACUUCGUGAGAACAAAAACACAUAUUGUUUGAAACCUGGUCAGUUCCAGUUCUGCCCCUGCCAAUCACUCUGGGAGGGGCUGACCCCUGCUUUGUGAACCCCAGUGAGGAGGAAGCUGGGAACAGCCUGGGGAAAUCAGGACAUCUUUCCCUAUGAAAAAUCUGCAAUUUAAAUGCAAAAUAUGUGUGGGGAAAGGGAAAUUUAUUACAAGACAUGAAGGCCUAAAGAAAUGGAGAAACAGUUUACCCACAUAGAGAAGUUUAUUUAACAUUCAAAAAAUGUCAGAUCCUUCAGAUCAUGCCUAAAUGCCAUCGGACAUUCUGUUGAUGCGUUCUGUGUUAAGAUUUAUUCUCUGUUCUAACAGUUCUAGUUAAAGGACCUUUGCUUUCUAUAAGCAAUAGAAGUCCUGAAGUCCUCUGCUAAGUAGGUGGCCGCAGGAGUGAUUAAAGGCAGUGCAGGGUCAAAUAAUUUAUUAUCAUUUUAUUAAAAACACAAAUGCUCAAAGGGAUUCUAUUAUUUUUCAGUAGCCAUAAAUGAUUUGGUUGCUAAGUGACGUGAGAGGCUAGUCAUCCACACCUCUAAUUACCUAUGUAGCCAAAUGCCCCUGUGAGUUAAACCCUAAAAUUAUCUAGUCACACUAGUGGAUAGGCACAGAUAAAAACCCUCGAGGAAAGCCGCAGGACAGUACUGACCUUCUCUAUUAGCAAGUCAUACAUCAAGUCCCUCAUAAAUGAGCAAGCAAGAACAGGGUCUUCAAACACCUUUCUAAUGGAACAGACUCUACCCAUCCCCUGUGACAUAACUAGUACCAUGAUAACUAAGCUCCAGCACCAUGAGUAUUUUGUAGUUCUUUCCUUACAAAUUCAAGGUGGUGCAUGGGACAGCAAUUCCCAGAAGAGACUUCUAGAAAGGUAGCCAUGUUCUUUCCAUUCUUAAGGUAGAGAAAAUCGGAGCAUGAAUAUAAGCAAUUUAUUUCUUUUCAGGUUAUGUUGUAUAAUAAGUUGCAGUUCGGGCAGCUCCUGCAUAGUCACUUUUUAUUGAGUAUAGUUAGUCACAGCAGAGUUUUAGAAAACGGAAUUGUCUUAUCGAUAAUCUGAAUUUUUAGAGUGCCUCUCAAAAAUAAUUUCUCCACUAUUCCUCUGUUGAUGCAAAUAGAACAUGUAUUCUAAAUUCCAUGACGAAAUCCAUUGUACUUUGUGAUAAACUUCUGGCUGUUAUUCACCCAAACCUAUUGCCAUCUGACAUUCUUAUUUUAUAGUCAUUAUAGUAAAUGGAUUAUACUCAUAUUGAAUUAUAAGACUCAGUGUAAGAAUAACAGACAUUUAAAACAAAAAGAUACAGCAAAGGUGGAAAGUAAGAGAGCAUUAAAAUAUAUACAGGAAAUAUAAACAACAAUCAAAAUGGCAAGAACACUCAUUAGAAUCUUAAACCUAUCAAAAGGAUAUUUGAGGCAAAACAUUUUAAAAGCAAAAAAUACAAUAUGUAAGUGUUACAACAGAAGAAAAAGGUAAAAUACAUGUGGAAGUUUAGCAAAGUUGCUGGGCAGAAGUUCAAUGUUUAAGUCACUAACAUUUCUCUAUACCUGUAGUGAUUAUCUGGAAGACAUAAUAGAUAAGAAGAUGUUGUAUACAGCAGUAAAAAAAAUGAUGAAGUGUUAGUAUUUAGCUUUUGAAAGACCCUGCAAGAUCUGUAAGGGGAAAGUUAAACUUUAUUAUAAGACAUAAAAGACUAAAUAAGUAGAGGAAUAGUUUGUCCACACAGUAAAGUUCACUUAACAUUCUAGAAGUCUCAGCUACCCCCCCCCACCAAAUCACACCUAAACUACCAUCUGACAUUCUUGUUGCCAUCCUACUGGAUGUCGGGUGUGAUGCUGGCCAUUGUUAAAAUAGGAUAUUACAUUUUAGUGACUGCUUGUCAUCAGACAGAAUCAUGUGGUAGAACAUUCUCACAGUUAUCCUAAUAUGAAAUUGUUAAUUAAAUAAGCUGUGAUGGAAUAUAUACAUGAGCUGCUAGGUUAAAUGCUUAUUUGGGAUUUGCUUAUGUCUAUAGGUCACUACCACCAAUUUGGAUAUAAUACAACAAAACGCUGGUGCUGACACAAAUAUUAACUCAAAAUGAUGAAAACAAUUUCAGCUGGGACCAGAAGAACAUCUGGAAGCCAUUAAAACUGGAGAAAUUUCCCUCUAAAUCUUUAUUGCCAAAGUUUGAACCAGCCACCCAGAAACUGUGGCCCUCAUGCUAACUCCGUGUUUAUGUUUCAUAAAAAUGGUUUCAAGGAUUUAUAUCUUGUUCUACAGGGCCUGGUUCCCAUGCUUAGAGCAUUUAAUCUUGCUGGGCACGCCCUGGGGCAUAGAGCCAGUUCUCCCUCUUGGGUUUUAAAAGCAGGGAUUCUUGGAGAAUAACACCAUGUACCAUUUCCAUAUUUACAAUAUGGAAUCACAAACUAUGGACCAUAAAAUCUUGAGAGAAAUGAGGAGAAGAAGAUUAGAACAGAGGCUAGGGCUGUAGCUCAAGGGAGAGCACCUGCUUAUCAGAUGUAAGGCCUUGGAUUCAAUCCUUAGAAGCACAAAAAAGAAAGAAGAAAGAAAAGAAAAGAAAAAAUUAGGACAUAGGACCCGAUAAUGAAAAUAUCAAAAUAAGAAUUGCUAUGCUAGGAUUUGCUCUUAAAUAGCUAAUAAAUCUACAGUAUGUCAUGAAAAUGACUAAUGGAAACUUACAUAAUUUCAGCUGUGUAUUACGUUCCCAUGCCUGCCAUAACAAAUCACCAUAAACUUAAUGGAUUAAAGGAACACAGUUAUUAACUUUUAGUUCCCUAAGUUAGAGUCCAACACAGGUCUCAAUAGGCUAAAAUCAAAUGUUUCCAGAGCUGCAUUCCCUCCUGCAGGUUCUAGGGAAGAAUUUGGUUCCUUGUCUUUUCCGCCUGCUAGAAACUGCCAACAGUCCUUGGCUUAUAGCCUCUUCCUCUGUCUUCAAAACCAACAAAUCCUCUUCAUCUGUGAUUACAUGUCCCUCUAACUACUGCAGGGAAAAUUGCUAUUGAAAGACCUAUGGGAUUUGUUUGGGAUCACCCUAUUAAUACAAGAUAAUCUCCCCAUCUCAAGAUCCUUAAUAAUAUCUGCAUAGUCCCUUAGAAAGCACUGAAUUUUGCCUUAGAAAAUAGGAUAGAAGUUUUUAACACAUAAAGCCUUAAAUACAGAAACAUUCCACAAAAACGCUCAAAUCCAGAAUGAACCUCUUGGCUGAAAGGUUUCUGGUUUCCAAAGUGAUUGUUUCAGUUGUACUGGUAAAUGUGGAACCUAUCCAGUAUCAUGAAUCCACCUGGACCCAUAUAUUUGUACCUGACAUGAAAUAAUGGCUCUUUGGAAACAGCAAAACGUCCGUGGAAAGCAUAAGCUGUCAUUUCCUGAACGCACGGAAGGGCGGACUUGGUUGGAAGAACCUGCGCUGCGCAGCCCUGACCUUGCACUCACUGUGGUGUGCGCAUGUGCAAGGGCGGAGGACGACGCGGCUGCGCAGCAGCCACCAGCUCCAGCCUCUUUCUCAGGACCGGAGUUCCCGCCUGGGCCUGGCAGGUCCCCAGCCGAAGCCAGGGCGCCCGCGAGGUGAUCACCUGCUGCUGCUGUCCAAACGCACGCAGUUCUGGCCGCUCCUCCACAAAGGACGUCUCUUCUACUCUGGGAAGCACAGAUGUGCUCGUGGAUUUUGUUUUUCAUAACCAGGAGCCGAGCUCAAGUUAGAGCCUGGAUCUCCGUUCAGAGUGGGCUCCCUAACGUCGGUGGGCGUCCAGAGGCGGCUGGGUCGUCGCUCUCUGUCUUUUGGGACGCGCUUCCUCCUUGCUUCCUGGAGCCCCGCCCUGUGUUCCCUCUUUAAGCCCGGGAUCAUUUCAGGAGUUGUGUACAGUACUGAGGUCUACUGUACGCGGCGCAAUACAUUUUUUUCCACAGGAAGACUUACUAAAGUCAAAGUCACAGCUUAUGGAGCAUCUGUAUACUCCAUAGCCUGGUAAGAGUCGUAGGGACAUUGCUGUAUUUAACUUUACAAACCCUGUAGGAUGGGUCCAUUCACCACCCCAUUUUCAGACGGUGGAAGCAACACUUAGCUGGCGCACCCAGCUCUUGGGCUGGGGGAAGGUGGGACUAGGUGAGUUGAAGGAGAACCCUACUUGGGCACUGACUGUACAAGGGAGCCCCCCCAAAGCAGUCACUAGGGUAAAGAAUAAGUUAAUGAAAUAGUUAUAAAAAUCCAAAUUAAUAAAAAUUCCCUAUUGUGCAAAACAUAUAGCUCUGACCUUGUAGUUGUUGGACACAGAUGUGCUCACCUACUCCCAGUCCCGUUGGAGACUAAGUGUGCCCUGGCUGGAUUUAUUUUUUUUGUCUUUUUGAG